GACGAACGCUGGCGGCGUGCUUAACACAUGCAAGUCGAACGAAGUGGCGAACGGGUGAGUAACGCGUAAUCAACCUGCCCUUCAGCGGGUGACAACAGGUGUAAACGACUGCUAAUACCGCAUACUGAAGGAGGUGAUUGCGUCUGAUUAGCUAGUUGGCGGGGUAACGGCCCACCAAGGCGAUGAUCAGUAGCCGGGGGGAGAGGAGGGACGGCGACAGUGGGACUGAGACACGGCCCAGAAUCCUACGGGAGGCAGCAGUGGGGAAUAGUCGGAAAUGGACGAAAGUCUGACGGAGCAACGUCGCGUGAGGGAUGACGGCCGUCGGGUUGUUAAGCUCUGUUAAUCUGGAUGCGGUACCGGAAUAGAAAGCCACGGCUAACUACGUGCCAGCAGCCGCGGUAAUUC
rnacentral:rRNA from 1 species